AUGAACGCUAGCUACAGGCUUAACACAUGCAAGUCGAGGGGCAGCAUGGUCUUAGCUUGCUAAGACUGAUGGCGACCGGCGCACGGAUGAGUAACACGUAUCCAACCUGCCGUCUACUCUUGGACAGCCUUCUGAAAGGAAGAUUAAUACAAGAUGGCAUCAUGAGUCCGCAUGUUCACAUGAUUAAAGGUAUUCCGGUAGGCGAUGGGGAUGCGUUCCAUUAGAUAGUAGGCGGGGUAACGGCCCACCUAGUCUUCGAUGGAUAGGGGUUCUGAGAGGAAGGUCCCCCACAUUGGAACUGAGACACGGUCCAAACUCCUACGGGAGGCAGCAGUGAGGAAUAUUGGUCAAUGGGCGAGAGCCUGAACCAGCCAAGUAGCGUGAAGGAUGACUGCCCUAUGGGUUGUAAACUUCUUUUAUAAAGGAAUAAAGUCGGGUAUGGAUACCCGUUUGCAUGUACUUUAUGAAUAAGGAUCGGCUAACUCCGUGCCAGCAGCCGCGGUAAUACGGAGGAUCCGAGCGUUAUCCGGAUUUAUUGGGUUUAAAGGGAGCGUAGAUGGAUGUUUAAGUCAGUUGUGAAAGUUUGCGGCUCAACCGUAAAAUUGCAGUUGAUACUGGAUAUCUUGAGUGCAGUUGAGGCAGGCGGAAUUCGUGGUGUAGCGGUGAAAUGCUUAGAUAUCACGAAGAACUCCGAUUGCGAAGGCAGCCUGCUAAGCUGCAACUGACAUUGAGGCUCGAAAGUGUGGGUAUCAAACAGGAUUAGAUACCCUGGUAGUCCACACGGUAAACGAUGAAUACUCGCUGUUUGCGAUAUACUGCAAGCGGCCAAGCGAAAGCGUUAAGUAUUCCACCUGGGGAGUACGCCGGCAACGGUGAAACUCAAAGGAAUUGACGGGGGCCCGCACAAGCGGAGGAACAUGUGGUUUAAUUCGAUGAUACGCGAGGAACCUUACCCGGGCUUAAAUUGCAGAUGAAUUACGGUGAAAGCCGUAAGCCGCAAGGCAUCUGUGAAGGUGCUGCAUGGUUGUCGUCAGCUCGUGCCGUGAGGUGUCGGCUUAAGUGCCAUAACGAGCGCAACCCUUGUUGUCAGUUACUAACAGGUUCCGCUGAGGACUCUGACAAGACUGCCAUCGUAAGAUGUGAGGAAGGUGGGGAUGACGUCAAAUCAGCACGGCCCUUACGUCCGGGGCUACACACGUGUUACAAUGGGGGGUACAGAGGGCCGCUACCACGCGAGUGGAUGCCAAUCCCCAAAACCUCUCUCAGUUCGGACUGGAGUCUGCAACCCGACUCCACGAAGCUGGAUUCGCUAGUAAUCGCGCAUCAGCCACGGCGCGGUGAAUACGUUCCCGGGCCUUGUACACACCGCCCGUCAAGCCAUGGGAGCCGGGGGUACCUGAAGUGCGUAACCGCGAGGAGCGCCCUAGGGUAAAACUGGUGACUGGGGCU
rnacentral:rRNA from 1 species